UUGGCUAAAUUGGUUUCUUAUAGUAUCAGAUGAAUAAUACCAGAUUUUGAAGGUCACGAUAUAGCAUGCAGCUAGACCACGGCUGGGCAACUUUGGUCCUGCAGAGCCACUGUCCCGCAGAGUUUAGCUCCAACCCUAAUCAAACAAACCUAAUCAAUGUCUUCAAGAUCACUACCACUGAAAGGCAAGUUUGCAAACUUAAGCCAAAAAAGUGUAAUGUUUAAUGCUAACACUUCCGCUUUGGCAGUACACAGGUAAGGAGACCAGAGGGCAAUUUUUUGAAUGGAUGUCAAUGGAGGAGAGGCUUCACUAUGCUGAAUAAACAGCUUUUUUGAGGAAACAUCAUUUAAUGAAUCAACAGCCUAUUGGCUAAUCUUCAACAUGCUUUACAUUAAACAAUAGUUUUGAAUUGCACACAUGAUCCAAGUUGACAGUUACACUUUCUCCAGUAGUAAGUAAUCCUCUCAUCAGACCCUCUCAUCUCCCAAUAGUAAGACAAUCUCUGCUAGAAAGCUACAGUUAGGUGUGUUUGAUUAGGGUUGGAGCUAAAGUCUGCAGGACAGUGGCCCUCCAGGACCAAAGUUGCCCAUCUCUGAGCUAGACAGUGUUAGACAGAUUUUCAAAUUUGUGCUCAUUAUAGUGAAAAACAAUUUCUGUGUUUUGAUGUCAUCUAAAGUGACACUCGUGACUUUCUUUGUUGUUUGUGUCAGCAGACAGAUGUUAAAGUGAUAUUAAGACAAAGCUCCUACAGUUAGCAAACAUUUUCUGAUGUCACUCACCAUGCUGGAGGUGUGACAGACCUUUCAGUGCACACGCACAGGAGAAAGUGAAGUCAUUUUGAUGUUAUCAUCCGGUGCUGCCCUCUCCGAGUUGAACCAAGUGAAGUAGAGGACACACACUCACCUGCACUGUCUCACUUUACUGCACACAUUUUUGCAUCAAAUUCACGAGGAGGCGGUAAGUAGUUUGGUGUGCCUGAAGGGCGUUGAAAGGCAGACACACACAUAUGCAUUGAAGUCCACAGGGGUAAACCACAUUUGAUGAAUGAAUUGGCAACACACUCUUGUUUGUUCCCCUCUGGCGUCGCUCGUCAGAAUGUCAUGACUCAGUACAGGCAGAAACAGAAAGGUGUUUGCCGUGACUUUGUAAUGCUGCCGCCAUCUCACAGGUCGUUGCCGAGCCACAGGAGGGCUUCCCCUUGGAGAAGGCCACACGUACCUGAUUUCUUCCUUUGGUACAGGAAGCCCAGUGUGGACUACACUAUCUUUACACUAUUUGCAAUCUGACCAGGAUUUCAUCUUGACCGGUCAUGUUGACCCUGGAUUACAUGUCUGGAGACAGCCUCUAAUUCCUCAUUUCUGAGAUCUGACCACCACAUGACAGGAAGGGCUGCACCUCAUGGCUGGAAAAAGCAUCUUUCUACAUUGAUGGCCAUUAGAGAGUUUGUGUAUUUUAGCAUAAUUAAAGUGGCUCGCAGGCAACAUAGAAAUGACAGAAAUUUCAGAAAUGUCACAUGCUUAUGCUUUAAGUGCCCAGAAUUAUCUGGAGCUGAACACUCAUGAACACAGAUGGCAGAAUACCUGCGGCAGCUGAGCAACUGCCUUUGAAAUAAAUGGCAAAGCUAACAGACAGCACUCUCCUGGAAUUAUAGACCUUCUUGUGCUUCCCUUGGAAACAUUGGACAGUGUUAUUCCCUACCACACUUUUACUAGAUACAAAUGAAUAUUUCAACUGCUUUUUCAUCUCUCUAACUCCUGAGUUGUUAUUUUUAAAAAUGAGGAAAAAACUUUUAUAUUUUACUCCCUCUGGUUCUUUUUUCUUUUCCUCGCUCUGAUCCUCUCCAAGGCCACCUGAAGCUUCCAACUCCCAGUUUGUUCUUUGGGGUUCUUGGAUCCUUUACAGUCCCCCCACCCCCCAUUCUCAAUCGCUCUGAGCACACAAACUCUACAAGGACAAAACAAGGCAAACAUGGCAGAUCUGAAGGAAAGUGUGUUGGAAUGUUCUCUGGUCCUAUUGAAGUGGUUGGUUUGUUAUUUCCACCAGCUGUCAACUGUCCAAAGCCGAGCAUGUUCGACACGCAUUUCCCCGUUUAUCUUCAGCACAACUUCCCAUGAGACUGCAGCUCCACCGUAACAAAGCAACAUCACUACAUCAAAGUCAGCCAGACUUUGUGCGACCAUCAAGUACUUGUGUUUUUCCACCUGUGAUUUGGAAUGACAAAACUCACAAAAACAGUAUUCCCAAAGAAAACUCUAAAAUUCCUUAAACUGCACCACACAGGUGUCCAGAGUUUGUGUUACACUAAGUGGUAAUUUUUACUGAUGUGUUCCAAAACAAGAAACAUUAAACUUUUUAAAUUAUACAAUUGGCAUAGAAGCAGAAUUCAGAGAGAGCUGAAGAUAUUUUCAUUCUCCUGCAUAGUAUACCAUUUUCUCCACGGAUGUUCAGCAGAUUGGAAUCAUGUUAAAAAGGAUGUGAAAAUAUCUGUCAGAGGAGCGUUGACAAUGUGCUAGAAAUUUUCCCGUGACUUAAUUGAACUGCAGUGUAGUGUGAUGUUUGCUGAGAGGUGAGAAAGAGUAAAAGACAAAGAUUUAAAUGGAGUGACUGACAUUUUGGAAAUAUUUAUUCAGUAUAAAGUAGAGAUAAUUUUUAAAAAUUUAUAAUAAUAAUUAUAAUUUUUUUCACUAUUACAUGUUUUAUUUGAUUUUGAAUUAUGUGAAUGUGUAAUUCUUCGAGCAACAGUAAUUCUGUACCUUUUUCCAUGGUGACUUUCAAAACUAAAAUGUCAAAAUAUCUUCAUAUUUCUAAAGGAAUGGAAGAAGUACACCUCAUUAGGUAUAC